CUGCGGAGGCGACUCCUGCACCCGCCGGGCCCACGCUGGGGUCACGGUGGAGGAACUCAGAAGCUCUUUGCUGCAGCCCAGUGGCCGCCGGCGGAACCUGACGGGGCUCGAGGCCCGGGCGGGACAGGGCCAGGCCGUGAGCGUGCCCUUUAUCCCCCACAGCCGUGAGUUUGGGGGCAUCUGUCCCCCUUCGCAGGAUGAAGGCUGGUAACCCCAGUGUUAACCUCUGCAGAACUUAGAGGCAACAUCAAGUUAAAAGGAGGAGACCAGCUUCCCUCUCCACAUGCUCCCAGCAUGAUCCACUGCCCUACCACAGUACUGAAAGCAACACAACCAACUAUUCUUGGACUAAAGCCUCCAAAACUAUGAUUUAAAAUAAAGCUUUCCUCCUUUGAAGUUCAUUGUCUCAGGGGCUGUAUGAUUAGAAACAAACACAGUGAAUGCAGUUGCCAAGCACUGUCCACCAGAAAGAUAGCAUGGACAUUGAGGCAGCCAUGACAGGACAACUAAAGACACACCUGAAAGAGGACUUCCAGAGCUACUUCAGAAAGUGGCAAGAACAAUGGGAUAA
rnacentral:lncRNA from 1 species